UGUUGACAUGAUGAUGCAAGCUCGCCAGUGUUUAAAAACGUAAGGCGAGGAGAAAUGGACCACAAUAAGGAACUGAGACUAAAUGCUGGCCUGUGAAAAGUUAACAUGCAGGAGAUACAGAGGAGGGGAAGCAGCUUCACUCAUCUAAAGUCAGUAACUGCAACAGUUGUGAAGAUAAUGAACGGAAGCUUGGUGGACUGACAGACCAACCGACAGACAGUAGCAAUGAAGGGGGGCAUAUAAAGAUUAGUUACACACAGUCCCACCUUUUGAAAGACAAUUAAUCAUUUAACAAUGCAUGUAUCAUAGAUUUACCAGUUAAUUUAUAUUAAUUAAACUGUUUACCAUAUCUCUAAAC